rnacentral:rRNA from 1 species
AUGUACUAUGUGAAGGAGGAGGAAAUUGGAUCUGAAAGAGUAAAUUAUUUAGGUAAUGAAGCUAGUGUUCAUGAAAUGUUGGAGUUUUUUCAUCAUGCCAAGGUUGUGAACAUAAAGGUUGUGAGAAAUGUUGAACCUGGAAUUAGUACACAUGCUAAUGAGAAUUACAUGAACACUCAAGAGAGCUGUUGUGUGGAAAAGGUUGUGGAGCAAUCUGAGCUUCAGAAUCAGAUAGAUGAUAGAAAGGCUCAGCUUGAGAGGAGCAGGAUUCAAAGAGAGGCGGAUUUGAACCACUUUGAAGGAGACACUGAAGUGUCUGAAUUUUGUUUAGAUGAUUCAGUUCAUUCAGAUGGGAGUGCUGAAGCUGUUCAAAUGGAAAUAGAGUGUGCCUCUGAAGAGGACAGAGCAUUGGAAAGUACUGCUAUUGUGAAACAUGUGAAGAACCCUGGUCCAACUAGUAGAUGUCACAAUGAGGUAGAGAAAAAAUGUUUUGAAGAUUGGUUUCUUGAAGCAGAUGAGUUUUGUUUUGCUGGUGAUGUAGGCAUAAGUGAUGAGGAAGAAGAAGAUGAAGUUGAACUACCAUACCUGAUGAAGAAGCCAAAGACAAAUGUUUACCAGUUCAGAGAAGCAUUAAGGGAUUUUCAUAUAAGGACUUUGAUGUCUUUUCACUACCACAAGAACUCCCCAACAAGAAUUAUUGUUUGGUGUUCACAGAGAGAGCAUGGGUGUGAAUUUUACAUGUGUGCCUCCAAGAUAGCUCAUGAAAGAACUUUUUGCAUUAAGAAGUGUAACAUGAAGCACACUUGUCCAGCAUCAGCAGAGAACACAAAGGUUACUACUAAGUGGCUUUCAAAAGCAGUUGAGCCUUCUCUUAGAGCAGAUCAUAGAGCACCUGUAGACGCACUUAUUAAAAACAGCAAAGUCAAGUUUUCAGUUGAUGUAUCAAAGAGUGUGGCCUAUAGGGCAAGGAGGAAGGCUAUGAAGGUUGUGCAAGGUGACCAGAAGGAGCAGUACUAUAGACUGAGGGACUACCUGCAAGCAGUUAUUGAUACAAACCCUGGUAGCAGGUGUAUAGUUACAACAUUUGAGGACCCAGAAAACCCUGCACCAACUCCUAGAUUUAAGUACAUGUUCUACUGCUUGCAUGCAUCAAAGCAAGGAUUUCUUAAUAGUUGCAGGCCCUUUAUAGUCUUUGGUGUGGUUGAUAAGGAAGAUUCAGAGAGUUGGACAUGGUUCCUAACCCAGCUAAGAUGUUGCAUUGGAAGUGGAAGCAAAUUUGGAACCUACACCAUUAUUUCUGACAGACAAAAGGGUCUUCUUAAGGCUAUAAAUGAGGUGUUCCCUGAUUCCCCUCAGAGAUACUGCCUGAGGCACAUAUAUGCAAAUUUUCAGUCAGCUGGUUUCAGAGGAGCAGAACUAAAGAAGCUAGUAGAUCGGGCUAGCUACUCAUUCACCAAACAUGGCCAUGAAUUAGCAAUGGCAGAGCUUAAAGCAAAGUGUGAGGAUGCUUGGAAGUGGCUUAAAAAAUUCCAUAGGAGACUUGGUGUUUUCAACAAAAUGAUCCUUGAUGUUAGGGCCAAACCAAUUAGGACUAUGUUUGAAGGAGUGAGGACUAAGCAGAUGAUCAAAAGGAGGUGGGACAUGACAGGUGUGACAUGCAGUCAUGCAAUAGCAGCAAUGAGCAAGCUUCACAUGCACCCAGAGGACUAUGUGCAUGAAUUUUUCAAAAAACCACUAUAUAUUGAAGCAUAUAAAGACAUAGUGUACCCUGUCCCUGGUCCUAAAUUCUGGCCGGACACCCAUACUCAGGAUAUUGAGCCCCUAGUGUUCAAAGAAAAACCAGGGAAGAAACAGACAACUAGGAGAAAGGGCCAGUUUGAGGUGCCUGCACCAAAGGACACAAGCAGGAUGAGAACAAUUACAUGCAAAAAUUGUGAUCUAUAG